GCACCUCCCUUACAAGGAGGGGGUCGGCGGUUCGAUCCCGUCAUCACCCACCA
rnacentral:tRNA from 3 species